UAGGGACAAAAAGGGAUAGACCCAGCUAUUUGCCUGAAGAAUGUUCCUCAGACCCCAUUUAUGGCAAGAAUUCAGAACAACAUGCAAGAAUCUAAAAACAGAGGGAAAGAAAAACAGGCUGCUCCCUACUGCAGGGAGGCACAACUCACCCCACCUUGCUUUAAAUUGGGAAACUGAGGCACAAAAAGGUGAAGCGACUUGCCCAAGCUCAGAACCAUGGCUGAGCUAGGAAUAGAAUCCAGGUCUCAAUUCUACUCCAGUGCUUUAUCUACCAGGUUACACCCACUGAAGCAUUAGUAUUAAGUGUUUACUGGGAAAAACAAAACAACACACACA